AUGAUUUUUGUCUACAUUUUAGGACCUACAACACCUCGUCGGUGCUGAAGGCGAAGGCAACAUUAGAGUCCGUCUCCGUGGAAGGGACACAACCUUCCAAAGACGUUUCACUGCUUCCGAUACAAACGAGCUCUUGUAUCAAGUGGCCAUUGCCAACCUGCGCGAGAGGAAUAUCACCAUCCGAAAUGCCAGUGGAAGAAUCAUUAAAAGAAAUGACGAUCCUAUUGACGUUGUAGACGCAACGACACUAAUGGUCUUUCAUGACUUGGGUAUACUAGGAGCAA